GAGUCUCGCUCUUCGCCCAGGCUGGAGUACAGUGGCGCCAUCUCAGCUCACUGCAAGCUCCGCCUCCCAGGUUCAUGCUAUUCUCCUGCUUCAGCCUCCCGAGUAGCUGGGACUACAGGCGCCCGCCACCACGCCCGGCUAAUUUUUUGUAUUUUUAGUAGAGACGGGGUUUCAUUGUGUUAGCCAGGAUGGUCUCAAUCUCCUGACCUCGUGAUCUGCCCACCUCGGCCUCCCAAAGUGCUGGGAUUACAGUCGUGAGCCACCGCACCCAGCCUCCAUUUCUUGACUCUAUUUCCUGUUGACUUUGCGUUCUUAGGCUUCCUUUUCCCCAUGAGAUGGCAGAAUGGCUGCUUACAACUUCAGAUCACACCCUUUCCAGCAGAAAGGGAGUUUCUUUUCCCUGAUGCUGUCAACAAAAGUCCCAGGACUACAUCUCAUUGGUCUAACUUGUGUUACCCGUGCAUCACUAAACCACUCUCCUGAGAAGGGGCAUGGAACAUUCUGACAGCUCCUCUCAAAUCGCGUGGACUGAGAUUUGGGGAGAGGUGGCUUCCUGUGCUAGAUCAUUUCUGUUGGCCCUUCCAGACCUACUCUCCGCCCUCUUCCUUCCUGAUUUGAACCUCAAGAGGCCAACCUGCAUGGACUGCUUCCACAGAUCCUUUGUCCUCUGACUUACAGUUGAAUUCACCAAAUAGAAGACAGUGGAAAUGAGACCCGAGGGUUGGAGGAGGAGGAAGCCUGCAAUGUGAACACGAUGGCUGGAGCUCCGGCAGCCAUUCUGGACCAGGAGGUAGCCUUGAAGAUGGAAGCCACAUGUUGGGAUGGUGAAUCCAAAAGAUGAGGAGCCUGUAUCCCCUGUGACACCAGAGCUGCCAUACCAGCCCUGGGUUCCUCCAUCUAUACUGCCUUCAUAUGGUAAAGAAAUAUUCUUGGAUCUUGUUAGGUGUCUGUUGCAGCCAAACACAGUCCCAACUGAUAUUCACUGUAAAUGAUUCCAUGGCUCCCUGUAGUACUUUUACAAAGCAUCUAUCACAAUUGUAAUUAAUAAAAUAAUUAUGCAAUUACUAGUUUAAUGCCUAA